rnacentral:rRNA from 1 species
UACGGGGGGGGUAAGCGUUGUUCGGAAUUACUGGGCGUAAAGGGCUCGUAGGCGGCCAACUAAGUCAUACGUGAAAUCCCUCAGCUUAACUGGGGAACUGCGUGUGAUACUGGAUGGCUUGGAUUUGGGAGAGGGAUGCGGAAUUCCAGGUGUAGCGGUGAAAUGCGUAGAUAUCGGAAGGAACAUCAGUGGCGAAAGCGACUUCCUGGACCAAUACUGACGCUCAUGUGCGAAAGCGUGGGGAGCAAACAGG